rnacentral:rRNA from 1 species
AACGAACGCUGGCGGCAGGCUUAACACAUGCAAGUCGAGCGAGGACUUCGGUCCUAGCGGCGGACGGGUGAGUAACGCGUGGGAACGUGCCCUCUUCUUCGGAAUAGCCCUGGGAAACUGGGAGUAAUGCCGGAUACGCCCUUUUGGGGAAAGAUUUAUCGGAGGAGGAUCGGCCCGCGUUGGAUUAGGUAGUUGGUGGGGUAAUGGCCUACCAAGACGACGAUCCAUAGCUGGUUUGAGAGGAUGAUCGGCCACACUGGGACUGAGACACGGCCCAGACUCCUACGGGAGGCAGCAGUGGGGAAUCUUGGACAAUGGGGGCAACCCUGAUCCAGCCAUGCCGCGUGAUCGAUGAAGGCCUUAGGGUUGUAAAGACCUUUCAGCGAGGAAGAUAAUGACGGUACUCGCAGAAGAAGCCCCGGCUAACUCCGUGCCAGCCGCCGCGGUAAGAC